rnacentral:rRNA from 1 species
CAGCAGCCGCGGGAAUACGGAAGGUCCAGGCGUUAUCCGGAUUUAUUGGGUUUAAAGGGAGUGUAGGCGGUCUGUUAAGCGUGUUGUGAAAUUUAGGUGCUCAACAUCUAACUUGCAGCGCGAACUGGCGGACUUGAGUGCACGCAACGUAUGCGGAAUUCAUGGUGUAGCGGUGAAAUGCUUAGAUAUCAUGACGAACUCCGAUUGCGAAGGCAGCGUACGGGAGUGUUACUGACGCUUAAGCUCGAAGGUGCGGGUAUCGAACAGGAUUAGAUACCCCGGUAGUCCCUGUCUCUUAUAC